rnacentral:rRNA from 1 species
GCCCUUAGAGUUUGAUCCUGGCUCAGGAUGAACGCUGGCGGCGUGCUUAACACAUGCAAGUCGAGCGAAGCGCUUAAGUUUGAUUCUUCGGAUGAAGACUUUUGUGACUGAGCGGCGGACGGGUGAGUAACGCGUGGGUAACCUGCCUCAUACAGGGGGAUAACAGUUAGAAAUGACUGCUAAUACCGCAUAAGACCACAGGAUCGCAUGAUCCGGUGGUAAAAACUCCGGUGGUAUGAGAUGGACCCGCGUCUGAUUAGCUAGUUGGUGGGGUAACGGCUCACCAAGGCGACGAUCAGUAGCCGACCUGAGAGGGUGACCGGCCACAUUGGGACUGAGACACGGCCCAAACUCCUACGGGAGGCAGCAGUGGGGAAUAUUGCACAAUGGGCGAAAGCCUGAUGCAGCGACGCCGCGUGAAGGAUGAAGUAUUUCGGUAUGUAAACUUCUAUCAGCAGGGAAGAAAAUGACGGUACCUGACUAAGAAGCCCCGGCUAACUACGUGCCAGCAGCCGCGGUAAUACGUAGGGGGCAAGCGUUAUCCGGAUUUACUGGGUGUAAAGGGAGCGUAGACGGCAUGGCAAGUCUGAAGUGAAAGCCCGGGGCUCAACCCCGGGACUGCUUUGGAAACUGUCAGGCUAGAGUGCUGGAGAGGUAAGUGGAAUUCCUAGUGUAGCGGUGAAAUGCGUAGAUAUUAGGAGGAACACCAGUGGCGAAGGCGGCUUACUGGACAGUAACUGACGUUGAGGCUCGAAAGCGUGGGGAGCAAACAGGAUUAGAUACCCUGGUAGUCCACGCCGUAAACGAUGACUACUAGGUGUCGGGUAGCAAAGCUAUUCGGUGCCGCAGCAAACGCAAUAAGU